rnacentral:rRNA from 1 species
ACCUGCCUUCAGGAUGGGGACAACAGACGGAAACGACUGCUAAUACCGAAUACGCUUGGAAGACCGCAUGAUCUUCCAAGGAAAGGGUGGCCUCUACCUGUAAGCUAUCGCCUGAAGAGGGGUUUGCGUCUGAUCAGGCAGUUGGUGAGGUAACGGCCCACCAAACCUACGAUCAGUAGCCGGUCUGAGAGGAUGAACGGCCACACUGGAACUGAGACACGGUCCAGACUCCUACGGGAGGCAGCAGUGGGGAAUAUUGCACAAUGGGGGAAACCCUGAUGCAGCGACGCCGCGUGGAGGAAGAAGGUCUUCGGAUUGUAAACUCCUGUUAUUGAGGAAGAUAAUGACGGUACUCAACAAGGAAGUGACGGCUAACUACGUGCCAGCAGCCGCGGUAAAACGUAGGUCACAAGCGUCGUCCGGAAUUACUGGGUGUAAAGGGAGCGCAGGCGGGAGAACAAGUUGGAAGUGAAAUCCAUGGGCUCAACCCAUGAACUGCUUUCAAAACUGUUUUUCUUGAGUAGUGCAGAGGUAGGCGGAAUUCCCGGUGUAGCGGUGGAAUGCGUAGAUAUCGGGAGGAACACCAGUGGCGAAGGCGGCCUACUGGGCACCAACUGACGCUGA